rnacentral:rRNA from 1 species
GAUGAACGCUAGCUACAGGCUUAACACAUGCAAGUCGAGGGACCGGCGCACGGGUGAGUAACACGUAUCCAACCUGCCCUUUACUCGGGGAUAGCCUUUCGAAAGAAAGAUUAAUACCCGAUGUAAAGGAUGGGGAUGCGUCUGAUUAGCUUGUUGGCGGGGUAACGGCCCACCAAGGCAACGAUCAGUAGGGGUUCUGAGAGGAAGGUCCCCCACAUUGGAACUGAGACACGGUCCAAACUCCUACGGGAGGCAGCAGUGAGGAAUAUUGGUCAAUGGACGCAAGUCUGAACCAGCCAAGUAGCGUGCAGGAUGACGGCCUAUGGGUUGUAAACUGCUUUUAUAUGGGGAUAGGUACCAUAUGAAUAAGGACCGGCUAAUUCCGUGCCAGCAGCCGCGGUAAUUC